rnacentral:rRNA from 1 species
UUUUCUGGCGUCUUCGGCGUCGGAGUUGUAAUUUGGAGGGAUAACUUCGGGGUUGGCGCCGUCCUAAGUUCCUUGGAACAGGACGUCACAGAGGGUGAGAAUCCCGUGCCUGGAUGGCUGUCCAACUCCAUGUGAAGUGUCUCCGACGAGUCGAGUUGUUUGGGAAUGCAGCUCAAAAUGGGUGGUAAAUUUCAUCUAAAGCUAAAUAUUGGGGAGAGACCGAUAGCGCACAAGUAGAGUGAUCGUUAGAUGAAAAGCACUUUGUAAAGAGAGUUAAAAAGUACGUGAAAUUGUUGAAAGGGAAGCGCUUGCGACCAGACUCGAUCUUUGGUGAUCAGCCGGGCAUCUCUCCGGUGCCCUCGCCAUUGAUUGGGCCUGCAUCGGUUCUGAGGGCGGGAUUAAAGGAGGAGGAAUGUGGCUCCCUUCGGGGAGUGUUAUAGCCUCCUUCAGAAUCCCGCCAGUUGGGACCGAGGACCGCGCUUCGGCUAGGAUGCUGGCGUAAUGGUCUUAAGCGACCCGUCUUGAAACACGGACCAUGGAGUGUAACUUCUAUGCGAGUGUUCCGGUGGAAAAGGCUUGCGUGUAAUGAAAGUGAUCGGAGGUGUGAACCGUUAAGGGGGUGCAACAUCGACCGGUCCUGAUGUGUUCGGAAGGAUCUGAGUAAGAGGAUAGCUGUUGGGUCCGGUAAGAUGGUGAACUAUGCCUGAAUACGGUU